GCACAUUCCUCAGAUGGAUGUAACCUGUACAAAAGAAAGACAGCAAAUAUAUUGAUUUUAUGUAAAUGUAGAAACACAGUACUUCAAUUCCCAAUGAUAUGAAAUACCAAAUCAUAGAUAAAGUUAAUUAAUUUUAAAUACUUACGUGCCAUUAAUGAGCUUUAUUCUUUUCUUUCUUCCAAAUGUAGUGAGUGAUAGGCCAUCCAUCGAUGAUAUUGGUGCUGCCCCAACUGAAUGACCUUCAUGACCAGAGGUUGAUCCAAUUGCAGGCUCAGAAGAUGGGGUAAUAGGUGGUGGCGGUGGAGGUGGAGGUAUAGCUCGAUGCUGUGUUGAAGCAGUAGACCC
rnacentral:misc_RNA from 1 species